rnacentral:rRNA from 1 species
AACGAACGCUGGCGGCAGGCCUAAUACACGCAAGUCGAACGGAUGUAGCAAUACAUUAGUGGCGCACGGGUGCGGAACACGUGGGAACAUACCCUUUGGUAAGGAAUAAUGUCUGGAAACGGACACUAAUACCUUAUAAUGACUUCGGUCCAAAGAUUUAUCGCCAAAGGAUUGGCCCGCGUCUGAUUAGGUAGUUGGUGGGGUAAUGGCCUACCAAGCCUACGAUCAGUAGCUGGUCUGAGAGGAUGAUCAGCCACACUGGAACUGAGACACGGUCCAGACUCCUACGGGAGGCAGCAGUAAGGAAUAUUGGACAAUGGGCGCAAGCCUGAUCCAGCCAUGCCGCGUGAGUGAAGAAGGCCUUGGGGUUGUAAAGCUCUUUCAAUAGUGAAGAUAAUGACGGUAGCUAUAGAAGAAGCCCCGGCUAAAUUCGUGCCAGCCGCCGCAGUAA